rnacentral:rRNA from 1 species
UACGUAGGGGGCGAGCGUUGUUCGGAAUUACUGGGCGUAAAGCGCACGUAGGCGGAUAUUUAAGUCAGGGGUGAAAUCCCAGAGCUCAACUCUGGAACUGCCUUUGAUACUGGGUAUCUUGAGUAUGGAAGAGGUAAGUGGAAUUCCGAGUGUAGAGGUGAAAUUCGUAGAUAUUCGGAAGAACACCAGUGGCGAAGGCGGCUCACUGGACCGGUAUUGACGCUGAGGUGCGAAAGCGUGGGGAGCAAACAGG